UGAUGUAUAACUGGAUCAACUUAAAGAAUUCUCAAAGUUUAUCAAAGAAGAAAUUUCCCUUUGGACAAAAGCUUUGGAACAUAUAGAGAGCAGCUUCAUAACAUGUGAAAACUUGGAGGAAGAAGACUCUUUACCACCUCCAAAGAAGCGCUCCAGGAAAUGUAACCAAGUAUCUAGUAUCAAAGCUUGUCAGGCAAUGACAGAACUGGCUGCUUCACUACAUAUAGAUUAUUACCAGAAGGUUUUUCAAGGCUGGAAAGAAAUUGAGGGUGUAAUGAGAGAUGCAGUAUAUGAAGAAGAUGAAAUUGAAAAAUUGAUAUUUUUGAUGUAAAGGUACACUUAAAUAGUUAUAACAUGAAAAUUGUCAGAUAAA